rnacentral:rRNA from 1 species
AUGUUCAUUGGACAAGGAGUGAACAAAUCAUAUAUUGGCAACACUUAUUGUGAAUUUGACUAUUGCCAUGCUGACACUUGGACCUUAGAUAUGUUGAAGUUUUGCUUGGACAAGUUGGAUUACUCCCAUGGUUUUCCUCAUCGGCAAGUGUACUGGUGCUUGCCAGGCAAGGAAAUUGUAGAUGGCCUUGUUUGUGUGGAUACUGAAGAGGUAAUUGCUGCUAUGGUCAAUGCAAGCAAAGAAUGCAAGACACUUUUGUUGAUAGUGGAUGAGGAGAAUAAGAUCAUAACUUUGUAUGAUGAUGUGAUCAUAGAUGGCUCCCCUCUACCAAGGGUAAUUACUCCAAGGAAAUUGCCAAGGUCUGCUGAAGGAGGAGAGGAAGAAGAGAAUUGA